AAAUGCGUUUCCGGUGGGGUGGGCGGGGCUUCGCGUCUCCUUCUACGGAUAUCUGUGGACCUUAUGGAAGCAAAGACUCUUGGAAUUGUAACGCCCAGAAAACCUGUCUUAUCUGUCAGUGCAAGAAAAAUUAAGGACAAUGCGGCUGAUUGGCACAAUUUAAUCCUGAAGUGGGAAACCCUCAAUGAUGCAGGUUUUACCACUGCAAAUAAUAUUGCCAACUUGAAAAUCAGUUUAUUGAAUAAAGACAAGAUAGAACUAGACAGCAGCAGCCCAUCCUCGAAGGAAAAUGAAGAAAAGGUGUGUCUGGAAUAUAACGAGGAACUGGAGAAGCUGUGUGAGGAACUGCAGGCCACCUUGGAUGGACCAAAAUACAGGUGAAAAUGGAAAAGCUGUCUUCAACUACCAAGGGAAUUUGUGAACUAGAAAACUACCAUUAUGGGGAGGAGAGUAAACGACCCCCUCUGUUCCACACGUGGCCUACAACCCAUUUCU
rnacentral:sRNA from 1 species